rnacentral:rRNA from 10 species
ACGGGUGCGUAACGCGUGGGAAUCUGCCCUUGGGUUCGGAAUAACGUCGGGAAACUGACGCUAAUACCGGAUGAUGACGUAAGUCCAAAGAUUUAUCGCCCAGGGAUGAGCCCGCGUAGGAUUAGCUAGUUGGUGAGGUAAAGGCUCACCAAGGCGACGAUCCUUAGCUGGUCUGAGAGGAUGAUCAGCCACACUGGGACUGAGACACGGCCCAGACUCCUACGGGAGGCAGCAGUAGGGAAUAUUGGACAAUGGGCGAAAGCCUGAUCCAGCAAUGCCGCGUGAGUGAUGAAGGCCUUAGGGUUGUAAAGCUCUUUUACCCGGGAUGAUAAUGACAGUACCGGGAGAAUAAGCCCCGGCUAACUCCGUGCCAGCAGCCGCGGUAAUACGGAGGGGGCUAGCGUUGUUCGGAAUUACUGGGCGUAAAGCGCACGUAGGCGGCGAUUUAAGUCAGAGGUGAAAGCCCGGGGCUCAACCCCGGAACUGCCUUUGAGACUGGAUUGCUUGAACAUCGGAGAGGUGAGUGGAAUUCCGAGUGUAGAGGUGAAAUUCGUAGA